AAUCUUAAGAAGCAUCUUAGCCUCUCCAAAGUGCACUUUCUACAUUCCUAUGAGAUUUGUGAGUUUAAAUGGAUGUUGUAUGUAAAGUGUGGAGCACUGUGCCGUGCAUAAGGCGUGUGUCCAAAUGGUAGUUCCAAAGAAACGAGAGCGGUGAGAGGCGGUGCACUUUGGAGAGGGAGAUGAUGGAUUCAAUCGUGUUCUAGUGAUGUCUGAGGUGCCCAUGGAGGACUUAGAAGGAAUGUCUAGCCGGCGACCAGUGAUAAGGAUCCGGAACUCGGAGAUAACAUUUGGGAGAGGUGGUGGUUAGAAUCAUGGGAGUUUGUUACAGAUUUUAAGGCCUUUUUGUUUUGCUCGAAGAAAUCCCAGCUCCUUAUAGUUACAGUAAUGGAUUCUGCGCUGGGAAGAGCUCACUGGGGUGCUGGUGCCCUGGAGGGUCCUGCAACCCCGUAGCAUGGCGAUUCUGCCAGGAGGGCUGUGGCACACCUGGUUUUGGAAUAACAAGAACACUGGGAUGGAAGAUCAGAAGUAAUUCGAUAAUGAAGACCACGAUGAAGGCUUCUGAGGAAGCAUUCCCAAAGCCCAGCUGUGACCAACAGAGAAGAGGAGACAGUUGGGGGACGAUCCUUUUCUUGGAGCUUGAAGCCCUGGGAGCCCUCAGCGAGGACUUGACCAGCCUCUUCCCACACGGCCCCCGCUGGAACUCUCAGUAUCUGGCCAAAUAGUUUCCACUUUAUGGGUGAGAAGGAGAAGCAGUCUCAAACAGGCUGUUGGGCCUCUGAGAUAGAUAGAAGGACACUUAGACAGAGCUGGUGCCCGUUGGAGUUUCCAUCCUGAUUGCCAUGGCCGCCAUCCCAAGCAGCAGCAACCGUGGCAGUGAUGGCCGACUCCCUACUGUGUGCAAGGCUCCAUGGACCAUGAAGCAGCUGGGAGACACAAU
rnacentral:lncRNA from 1 species